rnacentral:rRNA from 1 species
GUCGAGCGAACGGACGAGAAGCUUGCUUCUCUGAUGUUAGCGGCGGACGGGUGAGUAACACGUGGAUAACCUACCUAUAAGACUGGGAUAACUUCGGGAAACCGGAGCUAAUACCGGAUAAUAUUUUGAACCGCAUGGUUCAAAAGUGAAAGACGGUCUUGCUGUCACUUAUAGAUGGAUCCGCGCUGCAUUAGCUAGUUGGUAAGGUAACGGCUUACCAAGGCAACGAUGCAUAGCCGACCUGAGAGGGUGAUCGGCCACACUGGAACUGAGACACGGUCCAGACUCCUACGGGAGGCAGCAGUAGGGAAUCUUCCGCAAUGGGCGAAAGCCUGACGGAGCAACGCCGCGUGAGUGAUGAAGGUCUUCGGAUCGUAAAACUCUGUUAUUAGGGAAGAACAUAUGUGUAAGUAACUGUGCACAUCUUGACGGUACCUAAUCAGAAAGCCACGGCUAACUACGUGCCAGCAGCCGCGGUAAUACGUAGGUGGCAAGCGUUAUCCGGAAUUAUUGGGCGUAAAGCGCGCGUAGGCGGUUUUUUAAGUCUGAUGUGAAAGCCCACGGCUCAACCGUGGAGGGUCAUUGGAAACUGGAAAACUUGAGUGCAGAAGAGGAAAGUGGAAUUCCAUGUGUAGCGGUGAAAUGCGCAGAGAUAUGGAGGAACACCAGUGGCGAAGGCGACUUUCUGGUCUGUAACUGACGCUGAUGUGCGAAAGCGUGGGGACAAACAGGAUUAGA